UACGGGGGGGGGCAAGCGUUGUUCGGAAUUACUGGGCGUAAAGGGCUCGUAGGUGGCCAACUAAGUCAGACGUGAAAUCCCCAGGCUUAACCUGGGAACUGCGUCUGAUACUGGAUGGCUUGAGUUCGGGAGAGGGAUGCGGAAUUCCAGGUGUAGCGGUGAAAUGCGCAGAUAUCAGGAAGAACACCCGUGGCGAAGGCGGUUCUCUGGGACGGUACUGACGCUGAGACGCGAAAGCGUGGGGAGCGAACAGG
rnacentral:rRNA from 1 species